rnacentral:rRNA from 1 species
GACAGAGGGUGCAAACGUUGUUCGGAAUUACUGGGCGUAAAAGCGAGUGUAGGCGGUUUGGUAAGUCGGAUGUGAAAGCCCCGGGGCUCAACCCCGGAACUGCCUUUGAUACUGGCAAUCUAGAGUCCGGAAGAGGUGAGUGGAAUUCCGAGUGUAGAGGUGAAAUUCGUAGAUAUUCGGAGGAACACCAGUGGCGAAGGCGGCUCACUGGUCCGGAACUGACGCUGGAGGUGCGAAAGCGUGGGGAGCAAACAGG